rnacentral:lncRNA from 1 species
UCUAGUCCGAUUCGCAGCGUUCUAGACAUAUCUUCUUUAUACAGUUAGCAGUUAAAUUAAUAGGUAACAAACUAAAUUUAAGAAUAAAUGAUUCAAUCAUUAAACUCUAAAAAAAAAAAUAAGAUGUAUAACCUGAUAUGUCGGAUCCUCAUAAUGUCGGCAUAUGAUAGUCUAAUCAUCCAUAGUGAUGCUGUCAUAGGGCUGCUACCGCACUGCCUCCACCCC